GCCUUUCUCAAAUUAUAUGCAUACUUUACAUUCCAUCACCAGAGAGAGGCUAACAGGGCAUGAAUGUAAACAAAUAAUGUCUGACCUGAUAAGCCCUAGUGUGUUAAACUUACUGGGGAAAUCUCAUUUUUAUUCCACUCUGUUAUUCCAAUUCUAGAUAUAUGAUUAUACCGUUAAUUUUCAUAAAAUACCUAAGGAUGUGAGUUUAACAAAAGAAAGGAUUGUGAAAAUAAGAUGGAUGAAAGAACAUUUCAAGAUCAAUAUUUUGCAAUAGUUGCUCGUUUUGAAGCAUUUCACACAAUAAGAUUAACAAUCAUGGACAUAAAUUCAUAUAUAUGUCUGAAGAGAACAGAUGUAAUGUACCCUGUAGAUGGAGUAAUAAUCAACAGACCAGUAAGAUGAACACUAAAGAAGAAGAUUUCAUUACCAGAUGAAAGGAAUUCCACUGGUAACAGUCAUGAACACAAAUUGACAAUUGGUAUUUGAAUCGCCUGUAAUUGUAAUAUCUCUUCAUGGCAGUGGCAAGAAACUAUCAAACAGUUGAAAGAAGUAUUACAGAAAACUAAGGAAGAAAACAAACAGUGAUAUUGAACGUUUAAUACAAACAAAUUUUCAAAUGUUGACAGUUGUAUAUUUUAUAAUGUUAUACAGGAUUUCCAACAAAAUUUACUAUAUAUUCAUUACAGUUUUCAAUAGGAAAAACAUUAAGAACAUUUAUUAUGAUGCUAGCAAAACAAUCAGCUUGACUUGCCAAAUGUUUUAGCAUAUUUUAAAGGACCAUUUGUUCAGUCUUUUGCGCCUUGAAUUUAAAUAAAAACUUUAAAAGAAAUCAUUGCAUUACUUUGUUUUUAACAUUGUGCUUUGUUACAUAUAUGGUGCAGGGAAUAUGUCAACAUGUUUAUUACAUUUAGUAUUUUGUCCUCUUAUUGCAUUAUAUCGUUGAGAGAAUAUGCCUUGGAAUGUUAAAAGAAGUGCUAAAACUCGAUGCUGCCUUGCCUAAUACCCUCCGACUGCAACGUCCUGCAUAGGUUUUCUGCGAAUGUUCAGUCCCCUUUGUACAUGGAAUAUUUGGGGUUGGUAAGUCCAGGCAACAUCCUCUGGAAGUGCCGUGUUCCCUAAUGAUUUGUUAUAUACCAGCCAGUUGAGGGUUCCAACAAGAUGACCACAUAAUCAAGUCAGACCAACUGGACAAGUGCAAUAAUUUAAUGAUACUUCAGCUUCGUCUUAAGAUUUGACUGAUAUUUGCAAUCAAAUGAUUGUAUUUCGUUAUAUACUAAAUAUUUUAUACUAUAAUUAAUUAAAUAGUUGAUAAUAUAUAAGUUUUACGUUCCUUACUUAGCAUGAAAUGUAUUUUUACAUUGCUGUAAACAACAUCAUGUGUUAUGAUACUGAAAAUCCAUUGAAAUGUA